AUGGGAGUUCGUGAGAUGGUGUGUGCGUUUCAAGCCCAGGCAAGUGAGUCUCCCGACACGCGGGCGCAGAUCCGAGGAAUCCUCCUCCAACAGACAGGUGCAACACUGGCAAGGGCGACGGCGAUCUGCAAUAAAACUUGUCUGGAGGUUUUUGUACAGCGAGUGUAUGAGAAUGUAUCACUGUGGUGGACUUUUGGUGGAGGAACCAAACUAAGUGUUGGAACUGAUGCUCAGCCCACUCUAACGGUCCUGCCGCCCUCCAGAGAUGAGUUGAAGCAGGGUAAAGCUACAGUCAUGUGCGUGGGCAGUAAGGGAUUCCCCUCUGACUGGCAGCUGAGCUGGAAGGUGGAUACUAGCAGCAGGAACUCUGGUGUGAAUGUGAGUCCAGGUGUGCUGCAGAAGGAUGGACUGUACAGCUGGAGCAGCAGUCUGACUCUCACUGAGAGUGAGUGGAGCAGAGCAAACACCAUCAGCUGUGAGGCCACUCAGAGAUCCCAGAAUCCAGUCACCAAAAUCCUGAACACACAAGAGUGUGAUGUGGAGUGAAACUACAGAAGCCACAGAUGUAGACACUGAUAGGCCUUCACAUUCACAUUCACACUUAUACUCCCAUAUUUACAGUCUCACACUGUCCUAAAUUAGUAAAUUGGUUAACAAUUAAUCUUUCCUCUCUUAGCAUGCAGCUCAAACCUUGUUUUAUUUUUUGUAAUGCACUGCAGACCUUUGCUGAAUUUUUGAUUAUUUUGUACUUGUUGCCAAAUAAAAGCAUUUUAACUCA